UACGUAGGUGGCAAGCGUUGUCCGGAUUUAUUGGGUUUAAAGGGUGCGUAGGCGGUUCUGUAAGUCAGUGGUGAAAUACUCUAGCUUAACUAGAGGGGUGCCAAUGAUACUGCAGAACUUGAGUACAGAUGAGGUAGGCGGAAUUGACGGUGUAGCGGUGAAAUGCAUAGAUAUCGUCAAGAACACCGAUAGCGAAGGCAGCUUACUGGGCUGUAACUGACGCUGAUGCACGAAAGUGUGGGGGAUCAAACAGGGA
rnacentral:rRNA from 1 species